GAGUUUGAUCGUGGCUCAGAUUGAACGCUGGCGGCAGGCCUAACACAUGCAAGUCGAGCGGAUGACGGGAGCUUGCUCCUUGAUUCAGCGGCGGACGGGUGAGUAAUGCCUAGGAAUCUGCCUGGUAGUGGGGGACAACGUUUCGAAAGGAACGCUAAUACCGCAUACGUCCUACGGGAGAAAGCAGGGGACCUUCGGGCCUUGCGCUAUCAGAUGAGCCUAGUCGGAUUAGCUAGUUGGUGGGGUAAUGGCUCACCAAGGCGACGAUCCGUAACUGGUCUGAGAGGAUGAUCAGUCACACUGGAACUGAGACACGGUCCAGACUCCUACGGGAGGCAGCAGUGGGGAAUAUUGGACAAUGGGCGAAAGCCUGAUCCAGCCAUGCCGCGUGUGUGAAGAAGGUCUUGGAUUGUAAAGCACUUUAA
rnacentral:rRNA from 1 species